AUGACGCGUUUUGUUUUUCUUAUGGGUGGAGUUUAUGGGUCUGGUUACCAGCCAGGAAACUACGAUCGAAACUAAAAGUGUAAGGAAAGAGACGCAAUUUUGAGACUUUAAACCUGUUAAAAUUGGAAACUUAAACAGCCACAUAUUUUGUGCACAGAAACACCAGUGAUAGAAGAUGGCGAGUGUUGAGGAGCUGCUCCUGAAAGCUCUGGAGGAUCUGACCACAGACAAACUAAAGAAGUUUAAGUGGUACUUGAAGAAUAAUGGCUCCGUUUCAGCUUCUGUUCUGGAGAGAGCAGAUGCCACUGGCACAGUGGAUGUAAUGGUGGAGCGAUUUGAACCAGAUGGAGCCGUGAAGAUCACACUGGAUAUCCUGAGGAAGAUGAACGAGAACUACUUGGCUAAACAGUUGGAGAACUGGACUGCGACAACCCAGAAAAAUGAACUGAUAAAUUUAAAGAAAGAUGAGCCGCAUCUGAAUAGUGAGGCAUAUAAAGCACAAUUGUUUAAUAAGCACUGGCCGGAUCUCAUUCAGAGAGUUAAAAAUGUUAAGAUCAUUGCAGAUAAACUGCUUGUGCAGGAAAUAAUUCACGAGGAACAAUAUUCAGAAAUCACACAUGACCGUUUAACCAGUGCAGAGAGCAUGAGAAAGAUCUGUGAAAUUAUACGUAAGCACAGUGACACUGUAAAAGCCAAAUUCAUCUCAAUUCUUCAGGAAGUGGAGCGUCACCUUUUAGAAGAUCUGUCUUGAUUCGACACCUUGAGCUCAAGGUGCAUGUGUUUAAAACCAAACAGAAGAAAAAUAUUGAUUUAUCCAGAAUUUCCCAAAUAUACUUGGCCAGCAAUGAGCAAAUCUCAUAAAGAGUUUUUUCUCAUGUCAAAAUAAAGGGUAAAAGGACUUCAAUGUCAAAGCACAUUUAUAGCAGAAUAUAUAUUUGUCUAACUACAUAUUUCAUACUUGGUGAAUUGUCAUUGACAUUGAAAAAAGCCAAAUUAAUAGAAGUGGGAUUGAUUUUAUACUUUUACAUUUUGGAUGUUUAAUAUGAUGAAAUAUUCUGUUUAGACCAAUGUGAAAAUCGAAUGUGCAUUUGAAAAAUUAUAUAUACUCAUCAAUUUUUCCUGGUUUAAUAUCUGAAAACUAAAGCUUAUCGUUUAAUAAAACAAUGUGUUUUGUCAAAACCUGUAUUUUUUUUAACUGUAAAGUCGUUUAUCAUCAUUCCAAUAAAAAUGUAAAGAAUAAUGA